CAGCUGUAGUUUGAAUAAUACCAAGUUUGAUAUGGUUGUAGUCGACGACAUGACAUGUUCAAAAUUAGAGUGUGCAAUGAUCUGUGAUAUGUCCAGGACUUGUAUUGGUUUUAAUUACAACAGUGCCAUGACCAGGUGUGAACUUCUCUCGUUUAGAUCAGACAUUUUGACAGACUUACCACAUACCAUUGAAGCCGGAUGGAAAUUCUACAGUAAAUGUGUCAAGGGGAAGACCGCAUGCCUUGGGUGUUUUUAGAAUGAAACAGUCUUUGUUAAAGAACCUUAUUUAAACAUUUUUUUAGAACAGCUGGUAUUUAAUGAUGUUAUAGCGAUUCAUUUAGUUUCUAGGAUACCAAUUUUUGUGGUUGAUUAAACUUGCAUUUUCUAUGA